rnacentral:lncRNA from 1 species
UCUUAUUAGGCCUUUUGCUAAUAGCAAGGCCUGAGCCCAUUAUCAUUAUCAAAGAGAAAUGCCAUACGAAGCAUAGAAUAUAAACUGAACUGUAUAAGCAAGCACCACAAUAUGAGUGAUUUAAGAUGUAAUUUCAUGGAAAGAAAACGUGUCAGGAGAUAGGUGCAAUACUAUGACCGUGUCAUGGCUCAACAAUUGAGUUGAACCAGAAAUUUAUCAAAGCAUCUUAUGGAUGAAUACUUCUUCUGAAUCUGGAAAGUACUCAAAGACAAAUUUUAUCAAGGUGAGGUGAUAUCUUUAGAAUUUCUGAUUUACAAGAUGUGAUAUGGGAGAGAGAUCAUAGUAUGAACCAAAAUUCAAGCACAUUACCUUCUCAUAGUAUGAACCAUCUUACCACAAAUUCAUUAGAUACAUGUAUCAUUUGUAUCAUUUGUUAUUCCAGAAUUUUUUUCACUGCAUGAAGAGAGUAAAAUGUAAGUUUUUUUUCCCACUGUACCACUAUAAAAAUAAUAGGCUUAAAUGCGAUUUUGAUCCCCCUAUUUACAUAUUUUUAAACUUUUAGUCCUCCUAUUUUUAAUAAAACUGGUUUUUUGGUCCAUCUAUUAAAAAAGUCAAUGCACUUUUUUGGUCCCCCACCAAUUUAAGUGAUGUGGCGUUGAGUUGGCAUAGUUAAUUGAUCAAAAUAAUUUCCAUGUCAUCAACGCUAUCUUAUCUAAAUCUCAGUCAAUGAAUCAAAUUCAGAUUACGGGUUGCGCUUACAUUAAAAUUAUCUUAUCUAAAUUUCACUCAGCCAAUCAGAUUCAGAUUACAGAUUACGCUGACGUAAGCGCUUACGUCAACAUCAUUUUAUCCAAAUUUUAGUCAGCCAAUUAGAGCACACUUAUAUACUAUGCUGACGUCAGCGUUAUCUUAUUCAAAUCCAAUAUAAUUAGAUAUCAUCCUCCCCAAUUCACUACCGAACAAAACUCAUCACCCAUCCUCUACACUCAAAACUAUCUUAAGAAAUUCCACCCAUAGUCAUGUAUCCAGUAGAGUUUUUUGUCCAAGUAUAUUACAAAAGACAUGUUGAAAGUACAUACACAGAAGGUGUUGUAUUUUCAUGCAAUAACUUAUUGUUGUUUGAAGUGAAGAAAACAUCAAAUUGGAUGGAUUUAUUCAAUGUAUCUAGACAAAGAUUCAACCAGAAAACUCCAUAAAGGUGACCGAUCUUGUUUAUCGAUACUGUACAACUCUUGUGCAAGGACUUGUUUGGUAUGGGUCCUUAAAUCUUGUAGGAGAUGACGACGUUCGGAUGAUGUUUGAAAUGUUUAUGACACGUAAACUUCUUGAUAUUUCAACAAAGUAGAUAAACCAGACCAAUGUGAAUAAUUUGCUGAAAUCAUCUAAAUAUGGAAUUUAAUUUCAACAACUUUGUAGAGAAACUUUAUAUUAUUGCACUCUUGACUCUUAACAUAAUCACUUUAUCUUGAAACCAAAAAAGAUAGUAUAUAUCAAGCACAUGAUUUAGGCUUGACCAAUGUGAAUAAUUUGGUCUCAUUAAUCAUCAUUCACAUUAUUAUUCAAAAUGUAUGUGAGGAAAUAAUACAUUUUCAAGGCUCACAUAUCUAAAUCCAAAAUCAUAUACUGAUAAUUUAAGACUCAGUUUUUGCCUUGAAGCCUUAGAGUAAAUGCCUGCAAAGAUAAAAGAACUUGUUUCAACUUAUUCUUAGCCUCUUCAUCAAUCAAAUCGCCAUCAGUAUUGAACUUUGCAGGUGGCUCAAAUGCUCUUAUAAAGAACUCAGGUUUAUUGAUGAAAUGAAGAUCGAUAUAAAUUCCAACUUGGCGUAGAUGAUAGUGUGAUCUUCCACCGCCAAAGUCUCCUCCAGUGCUUAUGAUUGCAGCUGCUUUGCCAGCCCAAAC